GGGAAUUAGGUGCUCCCCGCAGCCUGGCAACCAUCACCUCUCUGUGGGCGUAACAACACCCCGCUGCCCCUAGAGUAACAGGGCCCUGUGGAGCUGCUGAGAGAUGCAGUGUCUCUACACUGACCACUGAUGUGAAACAGAGGCGUUUCUCUGUUUAGUUGAAAACAGCCCAGCAGGAAACUGCGCACACACACACACGGCCCCGCACAGCAGCUUUCAUCACCUAAUACAGAGCUUCCCUGUCGAUAUGAGCACAGAGGGUAUUGAGACAGAUGUUCUGGGGAGCAGUCACAGCCUAUCUGAACCAAACACUGGGGCUGGAACUGAACAGGACUACUGCCUCUACCUGCACAGGCUGUUCGGGAAGGAGACAGCUGAGUACUUCCUCAACCCAUCUCCUGUCCACACUUCCUCACCCACCUGGUACACACUACUGAUGAAGAACAUGGGAGAUGAGGUGAGUGCUGAGGCCCUGUGGGACACCUUGAGAGAACACUCCACCAGACGACUCAGAGACCUUGAGGAGGAGGAGGAAUCUGAGUCUCUUCAGUUGGUGAAAGCCUCUGUGAACCAGGAUGUACAGAGAGAGCGAGGUCACCUACAGCACCUGGCAGGGGUCAGGUAUAUGUUCAACCUGGCCCAGCUCCACCAGGCUUACUCUGCCCAUGUUCUCUCCCUCAACCAUCCAGCUCUGCUCCUAGAUGACCUGGAGGAGCUUGAGGGACCACAUAGUUACCUACCUAUCUCACAAAUAAACAGGUGAAGGGAAACCUAGCAUUAUUAAAUAAGCAUUAGCUAUUACUAUUGGUAAUAUAACUACUAUAAGUACUUCCAAAAGCCUUGCGAAUUGAAAAUCAUUUAAAUCAGAUGUAGAGACCAAUCUUGGGUCAGAGUAUCAUGUAUCUUUUUAUAUUUGUGCUAUUAAAUGUGCUUAUGCUGUGUUAUUCGUAUUGUAACAAAAAUCCAUUUGUGUCAGUGAAAUUUGAAUUUGUGUGUAAUGCUGGGACAAAUCUUCCACAAGAGGGCAGUCCCAGAUUAAGAGGAUGAAUGUUUAGUUGAAUUUAUGCUGGUAGUUUUCACUUUAAUAUGACAAGCUGUACUUUCAAAAUUGCAUUUCUAUAAUUUCCACUCAUAGUUUUCAACAAAUAGUCAUUAUUUUAUUUGUGAAACUGUGUAUAAUUUUGUGAGUUUGUAAUUAAAAGUGACACGUGGCAAGUGUAAUUGAUUGAAUCAUUCAAUGUCCAAAAUAAUAAUAAGUAUUAUCAAUCAAUCAAAUCAUCUGUUAUAGACACAUCAUUGAAUCCUACUACUCACUGCUCCGGUUCUCAGGGCAACGAGCCUCCAUACCAGGCUCCUGAUUGGUGGUAUGCGGGCCCAAAUGAUAAACACACUAAACAUAAACGUCUGAUUGCAGCCAAACACGAUGAGUAUGAAAGCAAGAAGGUACUUUAGAUUUUACAGUGGUCAAUUUUCCCUAACCAUUGCCAUGCAUCAAUCACCUGGAAGAGUACAGCUCUGUGAAAUUACAGCCCCAAACCCCACAAUUUGACAUCCCUGAAGCAGGAAGGAAGAUGGGUGGUGGGAGAGGGGCGCGUGUGAUGGUGUCCGUCCAUCAUUUAUUAACUGUGCCAAUACUGCCACUGACUUCACGGAAGUGUGGAAUUCAGACCUAUAUAGCCCUGUGCCCAUAAAUCCUAAAAAUACACUACAUAAUACAAAAUAUAAUACAUUUUGCAGUCCUACGGACUACUGUAUGUACGGAGC
rnacentral:lncRNA from 13 species